UUCCCCUUCAUUGAUCGCCCCUUGCCUCCACCGAAAUAAAAAUAAAUAAUUAAACUAUCCACGAGUAAGAGUCGCCUCCAAAGCAGAGGCUCUUACAUCUCUCACACCGCCACUUGGAGUUUUUCGAGGACUUCGGACUUAGGCCUUUGGGAUUUGGAGUUCCGCAGGGUGGAAGCUAAAGAAGGUGCAUCUUAACUACAGGGCCCCGGUUUCCUUCACACAUGCACAACCCAUUUGGAGCUGGGUCUGGAGAAACCUGUAACAGUCUGUGACCCUACCACUUGGACGCAUCAUAUCUCAGAAGCUAAACAGAGUCCGGCCUGGUUAGCAUUUGGUUGGAUUAGAGAUUGGUCACCGUGAGGAAGCCAAAUCGGAUCCGAGAGUCUUUUUCUAAAGGCCAGUACUGGCCACAUUUUCUCCUGCCGCCUUCCUCAAAGCUGAAGACAUACAGAGCAAGUUAGUGCUAUACUUCAGAAGCAGUGCAGAUCACAUUGCUGUCUAGGAGCUCAGCAGUUGUGGUGGGAAGCAGCUUACAGCUAGUUGAAGAGAGAAGGCUUAACUUGGCAGAAAAAUGACCUCUCUUCAUUCUAAACAGGUGUUAAAACAGCUAACAUUCUUACAUGUAUACAUUUAGCAGACAUGCAUUGUACAUUCACUGUAUCAUCUGUCUCCUUCCUGAUACUUGGUUGUAUUUCCUACAUAUAGUAGCAAAACCACACUGAGGCCUAGACCUUGGCCACUGCUCAGUUUCUUUCCCAAGAAGGGCCCUUGGCUGACACAGGAGUGGGGAAGACAAUUCUUCCAACUACAGGUGGCUGUUGACAACACCCUGAGGACGGAACUGAGCGAGCAUCACUUUUCUUCCCUAUCUGAAAAAGGUUAUAAUUAAUGAUGAAACUAAUAAACUAUGAAAUUCCUUACAUUUGGCAGAAUUGCCAAAUUUCAAAAACAAUCCUUUAUUCAGAACUUCCUGCCUUAUGUUUCAACCAUCUUCUUUCUGUUCCCUUACAGGUAGAGAUAUUAAUGAACAGAGAACCAUCAAAAGAAGAAGGAAAUGGAGAGCAAAGGGAACUGGUAAUGCAGUGGCCAGGAAGCCACCUUUCCUCUGUAGACAAGAGGCAGCUUCAAGGUGUGCUGCUGGCAUUUCCCAGCACGUCCUUUAGUGAAUAAGGCCAGAACCCCAGGAUAGGCCUUAGCGCACUAGCCCUGGGUCCCUACAGUUACGGAUUAAAUAUCUUUCUGCAAGGCUAA